UAUUUUUAGUAGAGACGGGGUUUCACCAUGUUAGCCAGGAUGGUCUUGAUCUCCUGACCUCAUUAUCUGCCUGACUCAGCCUCCCAAAGUGCUGGGAUUACAGGCGUGAGCCACCACACCUGGCCCUAGGUUCAAAUCUUGUUAUCUUUCAUUAUUUUUCAGCUCACUUUGCAAAUACCCAUUAAACACCUGCCAUAUACCAAGUUGUUUUUCAACACCUAAAGGAAGGUAGAACUUGACGUGAGAGCCCUCUAGAAUUCUUAUUGUUUAGGCCUCUUUCUUUGUCUCAGGGCGUCCAGGGUGGUCGAGCCAAACGCUAUUCAUCCCAGCGGCAAAGACCUGUGCCAGAGCCCCCCGCCCCUCCAGUGCAUAUCAGUAUCAUGGAGGGACAUUACUAUGAUCCACGUUUACAUCCCCACCAGACACCAGCUCCUCUGCCCAAUCCAGGCCUCUAUCCCCCACCAGUGUCCAUGUCUCCAGGACAGCCACCACCUCAGCAGUUGCUUGCUCCUACUUACUUUUCUGCUCCAGGCGUCAUGAACUUUGGUAAUCCCAGUUACCCUUAUGCUCCAGGGGCACUGCCUCCCCCACCGCCGCCUCAUCUGUAUCCUAAUACACAGGCCCCAUCACAGGUAUAUGGAGGAGUGACCUACUAUAACCCCGCCCAGCAGCAGGUGCAACCAAAGCCCUCCCCACCACGGAGGACUCCCCAGCCAGUCACCAUCAAGCCCCCUCCACCUGAGGUUGUAAGCAGGGGUUCCAGUUAAUAUGAGUUUCUGAAUAUUUUAAAUCUUAACAUCAUAUAAAA
rnacentral:lncRNA from 1 species